GGCUGUUAGACCUCUCCUUAAAAAAGAAGUACAUUCUGCAUAAGGGCUGUGUUGGGAUAGAUCCACUGAGCUCUAUGGCCAGCCUUGGGGCAGGAUGCAGAAGCUGGAGAAGUCCAGAGGAAAGUGGACAAAUAUCCUGUGAGAUGAUGCACAGCACGUAUUUUUUACCUUUGCCCAAUUUCACACAGAGGAUGCCAUGAUGGUGAGAUCAGGGACACCUUGCCAGUUGGAUCAGAAAUUCAUGCCAGGCCAUUCCUGUAAAGAUAAAAUAUGAGAAUUUCAGUAGUCUCUCACUGGAUUCUGAACUCCUCCAGGAUAACUUAGGUCUCCAUGCCCACAUAAGAUGUUGCAUUUGUAAAGGGCAAAAUGAGAACUAUUAAUGUCCUUCUGGACUUUUCUGAAUUUGUAUGCAGAAAAUUUUGAAGAUGAGGGGGAUGAAGAAGAACAAGAAUCACAGGAUCCCAGGAAUGAAAGCCUGUCCAAAGCUGGAGGGUGAUUCUUUUGAGAGCUCAGCAGCCAACAAAUCCUGGGCGUCAAAGUCACUGGCCAUGUUGACAUUACCACUAACUUGAAACAGAAGAUCAAGUGAAGAGAGUUGUGGGUCCGCAAGUGGAAAUUAGCAAGCAGAGUCCCAGGCCUUCAAAUUCAGGCAUAGAGGUACUAAGUACUGCUGGAUGACACUACAAAUUUAUAUGAAACUUGAUUUUUAAUAAAAGCUUCUCUACCCAUGAAAAAAGUAUAAAACAGCAACAAAAGUUAAAUCCCAAACAGACCCUUGGAGCCAUUCCUCACCAGGAAUCCAUUUCAGAACUAUAAACCUCUCCAUAUUUUGACACCAGAAGACUAUAUCAACUAGAAACAUCACCCUCCUUCCAUCUUUAAAUGUGACAAAUACCUAGGUGGACCAAUGCCAAGUUCAACAGACACAUAGGAGAGGCCUUAAUCCUUGCUCCUUCCACCCCAAAUCUGUUUAUCACUGGAUUAAGGAGUAGGAGGAGAAACACCAGAUCAAACUGGACAUUCUUUGACAGCAGAUGAGAUUUGCUUGGAGGCACACAGCAUUAAGAGUGCAGUGGUCUUGCUCAAAAUUUGUAAACUGAAUUUAAUCAGGAGGAAAUCAUUAGACAACUAUAGAAUCUAUUCCGUUCAAGAAGACAACCUACCUGUCCUAUUCAAACAGCCAACUCCCCAAACAACUACAACAAAAAGGUGUGGAUGUAUUUUUGGUUCAAAAGCACAGGAUUGACUCUUAGUACUUUUGAACCAAAAGUGUGGCCACACAAUUUUGCUGUUGUUCAUGGUGAUGUUGACUUUUUUGAAGAGGCCAGGUCAGGUUUCUUGUGCAAUGUUCUACAUUCUGAAAUUGCUUGAUUAUUUUGCUCAUGCCUAAUUCAGAUUCACAUUUUAGCAAGAUUACUCAAAAGAUUACCAAAAGUUUAUGUGCCUUCUAGUGCAUCCUAUUAGAAGGAUGACUAUCCAGUUUUAUCACAAUCAUCAUUGUGAUCUUAGAACUGGUCACUCAGGUAAGGAGGGGUCUAUCAGGAGUCUCAUUGUAAAGAUUCAUUAUUUCCUUUAUAAAGUAAUCUGGAGAGAGGUAUUUUGAGAAUAUUGAAUAUCCUGUUCUAUAAUAUUCCUCUAAACUUCUCAGCAUCUAUUGGUCAUCCCUACUCCUUGACAAUUACUGUUUGUGUUUGUAUAUGGGAAAUUUUCUAAUUUAUUCACUCUUUUAUGCAUCUAUUUGCUGUUACUCUGCUGUAAAAAACAGCUUUCCCUCUCUUAUCCCUACCAUUACAUUUCUUUCACUAUCACAAAAGUUCAUGAAUUUUUUUUCAGUAUCUUCCAAUCCAUUAUCAUCAUCAUUUUUGGUUCAU